rnacentral:rRNA from 1 species
ACCCUUUAAUGUUUGAUGUUCUAACGUGGACCCGUGAUCCGGGUUGCGGACAGUGUCUGGUGGGUAGUUUGACUGGGGCGGUCUCCUCCUAAAGAGUAACGGAGGAGCACGAAGGUUGGCUAAUCCUGGUCGGACAUCAGGAGGUUAGUGCAAUGGCAUAAGCCAGCUUGACUGCGAGCGUGACGGCGCGAGCAGGUGCGAAAGCAGGUCAUAGUGAUCCGGUGGUUCUGAAUGGAAGGGCCAUCGCUCAACGGAUAAAAGGUACUCCGGGGAUAACAGGCUGAUACCGCCCAAGAGUUCAUAUCGACGGCGGUGUUUGGCACCUCGAUGUCGGCUCAUCACAUCCUGGGGCUGAAGUAGGUCCCAAGGGUAUGGCUGUUCGCCAUUUAAAGUGGUACGCGAGCUGGGUUUAGAACGUCGUGAGACAGUUCGGUCCCUAUCUGCCGUGGGCGCUGGAGAACUGAGGGGGGCUGCUCCUAGUACGAGAGGACCGGAGUGGACGCAUCACUGGUGUUCGGGUUGUCAUGCCAAUGGCACUGCCCGGUAGCUAAAUGCGGAAGAGAUAAGUGCUGAAAGCAUCUAAGCACGAAACUUGCCCCGAGAUGAGUUCUCCCUGAGACUUAGAGUCUCCUGAAGGAACGUUGAAGACGACGACGUU